CGGAGGAUCAUUAUCGAAUAAACUUGAGCAUGCUGUUGCUGGCCCCUUCCCUGGGGUAUGUGCACGCUUGUCCUUUGUUAUUUCUCCAACCUGUGCACAUUUUGUAGACCCUGGAGAAUCUCAUGAAUUUUGAUUCGAGUCGGGACUGCUGCUGCUUCAUCAUUUCUGAAGCCAGCUUUGCCUUGCAACUUCCAGGUCUAUGUCAUUUUUCACAACCUCAUUGACAAAAAAACUGGAUGUACCUAUAGAAAUAAAAUAUACAACUUUCAGCAACGGAUCUCUUGGCUCUCGCAUCGAUGAAGAACGCAGCGAAAUGCGAUAAGUAAUGUGAAUUGCAGAAUUCAGUGAAUCAUCGAAUCUUUGAACGCAUCUUGCGCUCCUUGGUAUUCCGAGGAGCAUGCCUGUUUGAGUGUCAUUUAACUUCUCAACUGCAUCAGAUAUUUUGAUGUUGCUUGGAAUUGGGGGUUGUUUUUUGCAGGCCAUUCUGUAAACAGAAGGGUCUGCUCCCCUGAAAUGUAUUAGUGGUAUCUGAGCUGCUGCUAUAGGUGUGAUAAUUAUCUAUGCCUUUGGUAUGCUGCAUGAACAGAUUGCACUGCUUAUUAACAAAAGACAAACUUGAUAAAUUUUGACCUCCAAAUCAGGUAGGACUACCCGCUGAACUUAAGCAUAUCAAUAAGCGGA
rnacentral:rRNA from 1 species